UACAGAGGGGGCAAGCGUUGUUCGGAAUUACUGGGCGUAAAGGGCGCGUAGGCGGCCUUCUAAGUCGAACGUGAAAUCCCCGGGCUCAACCCGGGAACUGCGUCCGAUACUGGAAGGCUUGAAUCCGGGAGAGGGAUGUGGAAUUCCAGGUGUAGCGGUGAAAUGCGUAGAUAUCUGGAGGAACACCUGUGGCGAAAGCGGCUCACUGGACCACAACUGACGCUGAUGCGCGAAAGCUAGGGGAGCAAACAGG
rnacentral:rRNA from 1 species